CUGAUGCCUCGACACCACCUGCAGACGUUCUAUCUUAAUCGGUCUUGGGUAGGCCUGGGCUUUGUGAGGGUUAAAAGCUCUCCAGGUGGAUCCAGUAUGCAGCGCGGUUGAGGAAUCACCGUGGUAAGUGCGGAAGUUGAUGAACUACAGCCCAUCGGACAAAUCCAGUCUGCUGCCUGUUUUUGUAAAUUGAGUUUUAUUGGAGGACAGCCAUGCUCAUUCAUUCAGAGCCUCGCUCCAGGGCUGGUGAAGAUGUAGAUCUGAAUGUUUAGAGGAUGGACCUAGACUUCCAGGAGACCUUCCCUGAGUUUUGCUGGCUGCCUUGAUCUUCUGUCAUUGUUUGCAGGAAGCAGGAUCACCAGCUGCAUCGUGUGGCUUGUGGGAAUCUUAGUUUCCUGAGCAGGAAUCGAACCCGUGCUUCUGGCAUUGGAAGCACAGAGUCUUAACCGCUGGACCACCGGGGCAUUUUAGAAGUAAGGAAAGGAAGGAGGACUCUCCCAGGUGUCUGAGUGAUGGGGCCAGGCCUCCGGGCCAGAGGGCCAGCUGCACCCUCUGAGUUCCUUGUGUCUGCUGCUGAAUCAUGGUUCUGAACUGUCCAGAGCAGAGGAAUCCUUGCUGGAUACAAAAGCACUCCACCCUGAGGGAAAACACUGAUGGAUUUUAUAACUUGAUAAUAAAGCUCUCUCUGGGGAGAAUGCCCUCCCAGAGGUGGGAGAUUAAUU